CACAUCCCGCUCCGUCUGGGGAAGACAAACAGUGAGGGGGGGGGGGGCACCAUCUCCCUACACUCCCCUCAUGGGGACACCAGGUAAGUGCCCCCCAUAAUCCUGCCCUCCUAGAAGUCCUCCUAGGUUCCCCUGGCCAAGCCCCUCAGUGUAAGCUCCUCCUGCUUUAUGGGCAUGCCUCUUAGGUGUCAUGACCCAAAGGUCUGAUUUUUUUGUGUGCUUCGGCACUAAGAAUUAUCCCCGUGCGUUUACAGCUUCAUUGCACGGAGGAGUUCUGCUGCGCAGAGAACCUGCGUGCAAAGGAGUGUUCCUGCCACUUUGUAGCGGUCUUUGCAGGGUGCAUUUUCUCUGCAACACAGAAAUGCAUGGUGCAAAGGAGUUCCCGCUCUUCGCAUGCAAAUCUGUGCCCCGCAAUUGGCUAGUGCUAAAUUAUUCCCACGUUGCGGCUAGCGAUUGGCCUGCUAGCCGUAUAAGAGGCUCGAGCAAUUUCCGCCCAAGCUGAAGAGGACUCCGCAUCCAUCUCGUGGGGACUCUGGGUGUGCGCGGCAGGGUAAUAGAAACCCUGUGUGUUGCUCAGAGGAGUUUGGCGGCCUGAUCCACCGCCCACCUCUUCCCGUCUUCGAACGGAACCUUCUAUAAGACGUAUUGACGAGUUUUAUGCGCGCUUGUCCUGGACAUCCGGAGUUCUGUCUGCGUGGAGUCUAGCAAACUCCACGUGAUUGUUCGAGUUCUGUCUGCGUGGAGCCUAGCAAACUCCACGCGUGUUCGUGUUUUCUGUUGUAACCGCAACUCAAGCAAGUUCUCAGCCUGCACCGCGACCAUCUCGGUCCCUGCAGACUGUUUUUAGCCCUAGCUAAAAGCCUUAACUCAGGUGUUGUCACGUUAACUCUGUUGUGGAAGGGGCUGACAGUGAAGCACUGGAGGCACUGUCAAGAUGCUGAAGAAGAUUAAAUUUGGUUUUGAUGACUACAA